rnacentral:ncRNA from 1 species
GAAUUUAAACAUGGUUUAAUUAAAAAGAGUUUUUAAUAGUCUUUAUGUUUUAAAAAAUGUAAAUUGUUAAAAAAAUAGAAGAAUUUUUUAGAUUUUUUCAAAUUAUGAAAAAAGUUAUUAAUUAUAAAUUUGGCGAUGCUUGUGCCAGCCGCCGCGGUUAUACAAGCAAAUUAAUUUUUUUGGUUUUAUAAAGAUAAAAAAAAAUAAAAAAAUAUUAGUUUUAAUAGGUGAAAUUAAAAAACUAAAAGAAUUAAUUAUUGAAUCUUAAGAAUUUAAUUAGUAAACUAGGAUUAGAUACCCUAUUAUUUUAAGCUUUGUUUUGUAAGUAUAUAAUAUUUAUGAAAUCAAAAAGUUUUGGCGGUAUUUUAAGCUUUUUAGAGGAAUUUGCUCUGUAAUGGAUAAAACCCCUGAAUCUUACUUAACUUUGUUAAUUCAGUUUGUAUACCACUAUAAUUAAUUAUAUUGAAUAAUAAAUUAUUAUAAUUUUUAAAUUAUAAAGAAAAUUAAGUCAAGGUGCAACUUAAGGUUAUGAAUGAAGUGAAUUACAUUAAUUUUUAUUAUAAAAUUUUUUGAAAUUAAAAAAUAGGAUUUAAAAGUAAAUAGAAAAUAUAAUGUUUUAUUGAAUAAAGCUCUAAAAUAUGCACAUAUCGCCCGUCGCUCUCUUUUAAGAGAUAAGUCGUAACAAAGUAAAAAUACUGGAAAGUGUUUUU